rnacentral:rRNA from 1 species
CCUGUUUAACAAAAACAUGUCUUUUUGAGUUAUUUUUAAAGUCUGACCUGCCCACUGAAAUUAUUUAAAUGGCCGCAGUAUUCUAACUGUGCAAAGGUAGCAUAAUCAUUAGUCUUUUAAUUGAAGGCUGGUAUGAACGGUUGGACGAGGUAUAAGCUGUUUCAUGUAGAUUUAUAAUAGAAUUUUAUAUUUUAGUUAAAAAGCUAAAAUUAAAUUAAAAGACGAGAAGACCCUAUAAAUCUUUAUACUUUAUGUUGUUUAAAUUUUUUAGACUUGGUUUAUUUUUAUGUUUUAAAGUAUUUUGUUGGGGUGAUAUUAAAAUUUAAUGAACUUUUAAUUAUUAAAAAUCAUUAAUUUAUGAGUUAUUGAUCCACUAAUAGUGAUUAUAAGAUUAAGUUACUUUAGGGAUAACAGCGUAAUUUUUUUGGAGAGUUCAUAUCGAUAAAAAAGUUUGCGACCUCGAUGUUGGAUUAAGAUAUAUUUUUAGGUGUAGCCGCUUAAAU